GCCUGGGUGGCUCAGUCGGUUGAGCAUCUGACUUCAGCUCAGGUCAUGAUCUGGUGGUUUGUGAGUUCAAGCCCCGCGUCAGGCU
rnacentral:tRNA from 1 species